rnacentral:rRNA from 1 species
GAUGAACGCUAGCGGGAGGCCUAACACAUGCAAGCCGAGCGGUAUUGUUUCUUCGGCAAUGAGAGAGCGGCGUACGGGUGCGUAACACGUGUGCAACCUGCCUUUAUCUGGGGGAUAGCCUUUCGAAAGGAAGAUUAAUACUCCAUAAUAUAUUGAACGGCAUCGUUUAAUAUUGAAAGCUCCGGCGGAUAGAGAUGGGCACGCGCAAGAUUAGCUAGUUGGUGAGGUAACGGCUCACCAAGGCGAUGAUCUUUAGGGGGCCUGAGAGGGUGAUCCCCCACACUGGUACUGAGACACGGACCAGACUCCUACGGGAGGCAGCAGUGAGGAAUAUUGGUCAAUGGGUGCAAGCCUGAACCAGCCAUCCCGCGUGAAGGACGACUGCCCUAUGGGUUGUAAACUUCUUUUGUAUAGGGAUAAACCUACCCUCGUGAGGGUAGCUGAAGGUACUAUACGAAUAAGCACCGGCUAACUCCGUG